GGCGUGCGCCUCUGCGGUGUGCGGUCUGGGUCGCGGAGGGUGGCGGUGAGGACUGCGCGGGACUGCGGACCGCGUAUUGAGCGCGCUGCAUGCGCCAGGCGUGAGCCACAAAAAAGGCGGACUUCAAAGAGGAUGAUGACAGUAACUGCAUGGAUCAUAUUUUGUGGUGUGAUCAGCAUUGGAAAAGAUGCCUGCCCCAGGUACCACAUAUGAAAGAGUAGUUUACAAAAAUCCGUCUGAGUACCACUACAUGAAAAUCUGCCUAGAAUUUCAAGAUCAUGGAGUUGGCCUGAAUGCUGCACAGUUCAAACAGCUGCUAAUUUCAGCCCCGAAGGACCUUUUUGGAGAGGUUGAUUCUGCCUUACCCUUGGAUGUCCUAACCUAUGAAGAGAAGACCUUGUCAGCCAUCUUGAGAAUAUGUAGCAGUGGUCUUGUCAAAUUGUGGAGUUCUUUGACCCUAUUAGGAUCCUACAAAGGCAAAAAGUGUGCUUUCAGAGUGAUUCAGGUUUCACCAUUUCUCCUUGCAUUAUCUGGUAAUAGUAGGGAACUAGUAUUGGAUUGAAUAGCCUUCAAUUUCAGGAACAUUUCUCCGCUCUCUAAAGUAUGUUUUGGUGCAUGCAUGAUGUUUGAAGAUUUAAGCAGGCUAAAAGCCUCGUUGAUGAAAUUUGAGAGUGCUGAAGAUGUUCCCAAUAAUUGCCAGCCAUCGCCUUUGUUGGGGUGGGCUUCAGAGGAGAGUCUGCCUGAAUCCGCCAGUGCUGAACAGGCAGCACUUUAGGCAUAUGCACAUUAGAGUUGGAGACCGGGCUGAACUUAGCAGGGCCUUCACACAGAGGGAUGUGGCUACCUUCUCAGAAUUAACAGGGGAUGUCAAUCCUUUGCAUUUAAGUGAAGAUUUUGCAAAACACACCAAGUUUGGAAAGACAAUUGUACAUGGAGUUUUGAUCAAUGGACUCAUCUCAGCUCUCCUGGGUACUAAAAUGCCGGGACCAGGCUGUGUAUUUCUUUCCCAGGAAAUUAACUUUCCAGCCCCUUUAUAUAUUGGAGAAGUUGUUUUAGCUUCUGCAGAAGUGAAAAAGUUGAAGCGGUUCAUUGCUGUUAUUGCAGUGUCAUGUUCUGUAAUAGAAAGUAAAAAGACUGUUAUGGAAGGCUGGGUUAAAGUUAUGGUCCCAGAAAUCCCCAAAUCCUGAGAUAUGUGAUUAAAGAUGCAA